UUGUCCACUGCGAGGAGAAGUGGCUGGAUAGAAAGGAGUAGGUGAGAGUUGGGG
rnacentral:ribozyme from 1 species